AGCUAAAUCAACAGGGAAAUGCAAGGCCAGUUACCUUCCCUCUGAUGCACAGAGCUUAAGGUUCGGUUUGUAUGCCCUUCAUAAAUCAGUGUCUGUGCUAAGAAUCUGGUGAUGACAGAGAAAAACCUUUCCUUGGCAUCAUUUUGCAGUGACACACUAUUCCUGGAGUCAGCCUGCCUGUCAGCUGAGACUUCCAAGUCCAUGAUAACCUUGAUGUGAAAGAGUGACAGGAGGGGCAGGCAGGUUGUGUCUGGUGCCUUCACCACACCACAAGUGCUUGUGAGCUGGAAUGACCAAAGAUGCAGCUGAAAACAUCAAAGGAAGGAUUGAGUGUGACCUUCAUGCAAGCAACUGUGAAGCAUAGAGCAGUGAGAUCAUGGUCCUUCUCACGAGGCCAGCCUGACCCCUGAAGAGGCACAUCCUAUGCAGGAACACUAUAGACUUCCAGGAGUUCCAAUGUUCUUCUGCUCAAGAAGUUUUGGCUUUGUCAUGCAUACCAAAUGAAUGACAGGGAUAUUUAUCAAGCCUCUCUAGCCAGGCAGAUGUGUAAAACACAAACUAUAGUCUUAGAUAGACAAAUGAUAUACCAAAAUGCCCACUCAUGAAUAGCAAUCUGCAAAUCACAAAAAUCAUUUAACAAAAGCCUUCAUGACAUGCCAAACAUUUCUCACGAUUAGGGAGAGAAUUGUCUGGGGGAGAACCAUGUGCCUUGUAAAUACUGAAUUUAUAACAAGGGCUGGGAAUUUUACACUGACUGUUGUGACUCUAUAUCUGUUCUUCUGCAAUGACUGAUGGGAUGGCCUC